rnacentral:rRNA from 1 species
GGAUCAGUAGGUUGGUCAUGCCUAUGGUAUGUACUGGCUUUACUGGUUCCUCCUUCUUGAUGAUCUGUAAUGUCAUUAAUUUGGUGUUGCAGGGAGUCAGGACUGUUACUUUGAAAAAAUUAGAGUGUUUAAAGCAGGCAUACGCUUGAAUACAUUAGCAUGGAAUAAUGAAAUAGGACG